AGAGAUUGCUUAGGCAUUUUGGUUGCUCUUGGUGCUUAAUCGCCAAAAUGUAUCAAAAACAUAACAACCUGGUGAGUGCAACAGAAUUCGUGUGCCCCAAGUUGGAAUAACAGAGAGCUGUCGCAUCUGUCUGUUAAGACACAUGCACCAACCUUCACACUAAAUGCAGCUUACCUGUUACCGAGCUGUCUCCCCUACAGCGGCCAUUGCGGCUAGGAUUGUCACCGCUCCCUGGUCUCAAAGCUUGGGGCUCUCACUUUGCGUUCACCAAUUUAUUAGCAACUGGGUGACAUGAUUGGCGGGAAAUGGAGGGUUUCCAUAGCAAUAGAGAAGCUAUUGAAGAUCCCCAGUUCUGGUCCCUUCAUCUGGAGACUGAUAAGCCCGUCCUGAGCCGGGAUCCUGGUGAUAUAGAGGCCUGUCCCUUAUCACAGUUUGCCUUCUCUCACAGAUACAGACCCAAACACACCCAAACUACAGAACUUUCUGUGCUACUAAAUAUGGCCUAAUGCUUG